rnacentral:rRNA from 1 species
GACGAACGCUGGCGGCGCGCCUAACACAUGCAAGUCGAGCGAGAACCGGGGCUUCGGCCCCGGGGACAGCGGCGAACGGGUGAGUAACACGUGGGUCACCUGUCCUCGGCACUGGGAUAGCCCGGGGAAACCCGGAUUAAUACCGGAUCGCCUCCGGAGCCUGCGGGCGCCGGAGAAAAGGUAGCUUCGGCUUCCGGCUGAGGAGGGGCCUGCGGCGGACUAGCUUGUUGGCGGGGUAACGGCCCACCAAGGCGACGAUCCGUAGCUGGUCUGGGAGGACGAUCAGCCACACUGGGACUGAGACACGGCCCAGACUCCUACGGGAGGCAGCAGUGGGGAAUCUUGCGCAAUGGGCGAAAGCCUGACGCAGCGACGCCGCGUGCGGGAAGAAGGCCUUCGGGUUGUAAACCGCUUUCAGGAGGGACGAAGCCACUCGGGUGAAUAGCCCAGAGGGUGACGGUACCUCCAGAAGAAGCCCCGGCUAACUACGUGCCAGCCGCCGCCGUAACAC